rnacentral:rRNA from 1 species
UACGGAGGGGGCAAGCGUUAUUCGGAAUUAUUGGGCGUAAAGGACGCGUAGGCGGCUAGAUGUGUCAAAGGUGAAAUCCCUCGGCUCAACUGAGGAACUGCCUUUGAAACUGUCUGGCUUGAGGCCGGGAGAGGGUAGCGGAAUUCCCAGUGUAGCGGUGAAAUGCGUAGAUAUUGGGAGGAACACCAGUGGCGAAGGCGGCUACCUGGACCGGUUCUGACACUGAGGAGCGAAAGCGUGGGGAGCGAUCCGG